rnacentral:rRNA from 1 species
GAUUGAACGCUGGCGGAAUGCUUUACACAUGCAAGUCGAACGGCAGCACGGGGGCAACCCUGGUGGCGAGUGGCGAACGGGUGAGUAAUACAUCGGAACGUGCCCGGUCGUGGGGGAUAACGUAGCGAAAGUUACGCUAAUACCGCAUACGAUCUGAGGAUGAAAGCGGGGGACCUUCGGGCCUCGCGCGAUCGGAGCGGCCGAUGUCAGAUUAGGUAGUUGGUGGGGUAAAGGCCUACCAAGCCGACGAUCUGUAGCUGGUCUGAGAGGACGACCAGCCACACUGGGACUGAGACACGGCCCAGACUCCUACGGGAGGCAGCAGUGGGGAAUUUUGGACAAUGGGCGCAAGCCUGAUCCAGCCAUUCCGCGUGCAGGACGAAGGCCUUCGGGUUGUAAACUGCUUUUGUAUGGAACGAAAAGGCUCUGGCUAAUACCUGGGGCUCAUGACGGUACCGUAAGAAUAAGCACCGGCUAACUACGUG